rnacentral:misc_RNA from 1 species
GAUGAAGAACGUAGCGAAAUGCGAUAAGUAAUGUGAAUUGCAGAAUUCAGUGAAUCAUCGAAUCUUUGAACGCACAUUGCGCCCGCCAGUAUUCUGGCGGGCAUGCCUGUUCGAGCGUCAUUUCAACCAUCAAGCCCCAGGCUUGUGUUGGGGACCUGCGGCUGCCGCAGGCCCUGAAAACCAGUGGCGGGCUCGCUGUCACACCGGGCGUAGUAGAUUUUAUCUCGCUCAGGGCGUGCUGCGGGUUCCGGCCGUUAAAAAGCCUUUUUUACCCAAGGUUGACCUCGGAUCAGGUAGGAAGACCCGCUGAACUUAAGCAUAUCAAUAAGAGGAGGA